GUUUGGUUGGAGAUAUGGAAGGAGGAGUGCUUUUGUUUGUGGAAGACCUCAACUCUAACUGACAAAGCGACCAAUUGCCAACACUUCUGUUAUAUUUCUUCUUUUUCUUGAAUUGGGAAUGGAGAUUAAUUCCUCUGGUGAGGAAGCGGUGGUAAAGGUGAGGAAGCCAUACACAAUCACAAAGCAGAGGGAGCGUUGGACUGAGGCAGAGCACAACAGGUUCCUUGAAGCCUUGAAACUGUAUGGGAGAGCCUGGCAGCGCAUAGAAGAGCAUGUUGGGACAAAGACAGCUGUGCAGAUCAGAAGUCAUGCUCAAAAGUUCUUCACCAAGUUGGAAAAGGAAGCUAUCAACAAUGGCACUUCUCCAGGACAAGCUCAUGACAUCGACAUACCUCCACCACGACCAAAAAG
rnacentral:misc_RNA from 1 species